CAGCUCCACCUACCUCUGCAGCUCUGCCCACCUCGACAACCCUGCCUUUUGUUUAGACUGAUCUGCCACCUGGUGGUGUUCUGUCCGUACUGCAUCUCCACUGUCCUCAUGGUGUCUUUAUAUCGACACAGGGCCACAGGAAAUGACCUGCCCAUCUCCAUGUUGAUGACCCCGCCCGCCCAGUCUGAGGAGGGAUUGGAUAAUGACUGUGAUGACGUCAUCACUGCUGUCACCACAGAGCAUCACUUCUGAGCUGAUCCAGUGUGUUCAGGUUCUUAAUGAAGCUGAAAUGUUUGAUUCAUCUUCAAAUAAACCUCAGAUUUCCUUCAUAGAUCACAAACAGCAGAGCAAAA